AAGAAACGCCAAACAUUCUCAGCAAGACAGGUAUCGAGUGAAGUCACAGUUUCCGCGUGCAGAGCGCGCUUUGGUGGUGUGGUUCGGUGUGUGGCCGUGGUUCGAACCGUGGCCGUCCCUUCCCGCAGCGGCCAGCGGAAUCAGUGUGCUGUGUGGCGCAAGAUCGGAUCGUUCCCUGGAAACCAAGUAUGGCUGUCGCCAGCAGAAAACGGAAGACGAACAAAAAUUAUGCGCCCAUUCAACAACUUGCAGCAGCAUUCAGGAGAGUGCCAGUAGUGCAAUGAAAAAAUCCGGAGCAACCAUCCUCACUGGGUGUGCUGGUGUGGGUGCGUGCACGUACGUGACAGCCAGCUGGCGCUAUACAGGAUCGCCAACGACGUCAGGGGGUGACUGCAGUCAAUAACAAUCGUGCUGGUUGUGAAGAAACAACCGGUACAUUAUCAAGCAACGCCCCGCCGCUACAUCCUCCAUAACGCUGAGAUGUGAAUUCUCUCCUCGAAUGUGGGGUGGCAAAACGCAGAACGACGGCACCACUACCAUCCAAUCAUCACGACCCCCCGCUCAAUAGCUUGUUGGCAAUCGCGCGGUACAAAAAAAAAAAAGAGCAAGAGAACCUGAGGACGGGGAGCAGCGCACCCCUUAUCCCGGUACGACGGUUCCGCGGGUUGCUGCUAUUUCGUGAAGGAGAACACCACCACCGGGCCACCACGAGAUUUAAAUGAGUUUUCGUCGUCCCACUGCUCCCCGUUGUGGAACCGAUGAUGAUCAUCAAAACCUUUAUCAGGGCGCCGUUUGGACUAUACUUCCGGUUGGUCUUUUUUUUUUGGCGGCGGCAUGUACAACGUGUGUCACAAAUGUUCUGGGGGCACAGGAACAACCUCUACCCUCCCAACCGUAGGCCAUGAAUGUGGAUCAUUGAGGCGCAUACACACACACUGCUAAAUCUAAUCAGAAACACCAUCCCCCUGCCACCCACCCCCUGGUCACCUUCUCGCGAUCGCCUUGAUCAUCAUCAAGUCCAUUGAGAGUUGCUGCUGGUGUUGCUGCUGCUGUUGCCGUGUGCCUCUGCUCUCUCCACCUAACGAUCGCAGUAGGGCCAGUCGGGGAAUGGGCAGGCGAAUUUCUUCAUCAAUUAGCCUGUCAGCUACACCAACGGCGCGCGGGAGGAGCGCUACGUCGUCGGCGGGUGAUGAAGAAGGGGGGAGGAGGAGAGAGUGCACAUUCCAUUCGCGCAGCAGCAGAGCUCGGUGGAUGGAUGGAGCGCUGUUGUUCGGAUGAUGGCUUUCCCGACCCCGGAACGCCGCAACCAUGUUGCUGCUGAUGCUGCUGCUGCUUUGCAACCCUUCAUUGUGUGUGUGUGUGUUUGUGUGGUUGCCUGUGGCUGCUCAUGCACGUCAAACACAACACACUACCCACCGACUCGAGAUGUGGUGGUAGGCUCGUGUUUAAGGUUCCGUCUCAAUACAACGCGGGGAGCGCUUCCUUUUGCUGGCCAGCCACGAAAUCAAUUCGCCGGCAACAGACACACCGCUCCUGGUAGCAGCAGCAGCAGCAGCAGUUCGUCGACCCGCGCGGGCACGACGUUGCAUUCCAUUGGUGGAGCAGAGAGAGAGAGAAUAGGGCGACUGCGCGCCUGUGUGUCACCACACACAGCUCCCCAGUGAAACGAGUCUCUCUGUUUCGGUGCUUUUUGUGUGUGUGCCCAAAACGCCGCAGACAAGCAGGAGGAGAUAUGGUUAUGGUGGUAGUCAUUGACUUUCUUUGACCGCGAAAGCUCCCAAAGCCUGCGCAGACAUCAAUUCUGGCGAUAAGAGGGAACAGCGCAUGGGAACGGAAGCAGCAGACACACGGGGGAGAUGAGUGGUGGACUCCAAUGGGUUCCCUUUACUCAAGAAUUUCCCCCAAUAUGUCCCGUUUCGAUGUGUGUGUGUGUGUGUCGGUGCUGAGAUUGAAGUGUUGAUGGUGUGCUGAUCAUCGUUAAAAGUUGAAGGUCCCACCGAUCCUGUUUCGUUAUGUGCGUUGAUCGGGUUGUGAUUUCGUCGUCGGGAUCGGAGUGGGAGAGGGUGUGUGUGUGUGUGUGUGUGUGUGUGGAUGAAAUGUAAUCACAGAACCGGUUUUCAUUUUCGAUCUGACUUAUUUUUUUCACAAACAAGUGAGAUCACUUUGAAAGCUGAUUUUGUACAAUUAAUUCAACGAGACCCAAACCACACAAGUCAACCACACCCGCGUCAUGUUGCCAUGCGAAAAAUGAAGUGAGAGCGAAUGUACAAGAAUGUGUGUGUGUGUGUGUGAAAGAAAAAUGUUGGUAAAAUUAUGAAUAUCGGAGACCUAUGUAGCAAUACAUGCUUAAAGAAGCAGGUGAGUAUAUUGAUCAUCAUCAUCAGCACUUUUUUCUUCUUUUGCAGAUACUAAAAAAAAACAUAAAAUUAAAUCCAAAACGAGUGUACUACAAUCGAUUGGGAGGAGUCAAGACGGAUCUUAUCUCGAAGGAUGAUCGUUAUAAGCAGACCAGGAACAGCGACCAAGUUAAGCGUUGAAGAUGAUCUCCGGAAGAACAUGUGGCACAACGAUCAGCAGGGAACUCGAGGUCCUCAGACACGGACACGCUAUAUAUUAAUCCUAGUUCCUGCAGGAGCUCCUUCACCACAUCCUUCACGGGUCCUUAUCCUUACAGGGUUUAACAGGAGUUCCCAUAGCUGUGGGACACUUCAUUGACUCUUUCUUCUAUGCAAUGAGCUUAAUCUAAUGGGAAUUGAACUGUAUAGCACUCUUGUUAAACAAAUCCAAUAAGAAUUUCCAAGGAGCCUUCCAAUAAGGGUGCCAUAGAGCCCAAUUUCCAUCAUUUGAAGUUCACUUCACACAAGAAAGAGUCAAGGAAGUGUCCCAUAACUAUGAGAACCUCCGGAAAACCCUGCAUCGGAGAUUCCGUUUGACUUUUUUUGUGCCACGUGGCCAGUGCAGCAAUUCCAAGAACAUGGAGCUACAUCGGCUUCAAACAAUCGUGUUUAUUCAUCUCUCUCUUUCUCCCUUUCUCUCUCUCUCUCUCAUACUUCCCUUUGCUCUCGCUCUCAGUAGUAGGCGAUGCUUUUUUAGCUCGAACAACGGCCGCCCGGGUGAUGAUGGGUCACUUGGAUGGAAUGCACAAUUACCCUUGCGUUGUCAAUCAAUCAAUGAAGUCAUACUGCGCUGAACCUGCCUGACUAGCCGCCCCUCUAUGAAGGGUGAUGACGCCGAUGAUAUGAAGCCGCUGACACAGGCUGCUGGCAGGGUGGAAGGGUGGAAGGGGAGGGGGGGAGGGUGUUCCGAUGACUAAUGAUUGCGUCUCAAUUCGAGUGCAAUUUGUUGCCGUGCUGUCAUAUUGAAGAAACUGAUUGAAUUACAUCACUCCUUGAGCUGUAAAUAAUUUAGUAAGUUACUGUGCAGGACUUUUAAAGAUGAUGAGAAUAUUAAGGAGCUGACUACCUCUGACAUAUGGAAAUGGAAAUGAGAAAAUAAAGUCAAAGAAAAAAAAAGCACUUUAAAA